rnacentral:rRNA from 1 species
GACGAAGGGGGCUAGCGUUGUUCGGAUUUACUGGGCGUAAAGCGCACGUAGGCGGAUCGUUAAGUCAGGGGUGAAAUCCUGGAGCUCAACUCCAGAACUGCCUUUGAUACUGGGGAUCUCGAGUCCGGAAGAGGUGAGUGGAACUCCGAGUGUAGAGGUGAAAUUCGUAGAUAUUCGGAAGAACACCAGUGGCGAAGGCGGCUCACUGGUCCGGUACUGACGCUGAGGUGCGAAAGCGUGGGGAGCAAACAGG